rnacentral:lncRNA from 1 species
UGGGGGGAUUAUUCCAAAAAUAUUAUGCUCCCGCAUGCAUGAUUGUUGCCGGUUGAAUAUUAUAUAAUUAAAUAUGAAGCUCGUCGCUUCUUGUAGAACAUAAAAUAAUUUACGUGGAACCAGUUCACGAUAAUUUAAUAUUCGAAAUUAUUUUUCCUGUGAGCUACUGCGGCUAACAGGAUUUUCUCCAGAUUUGUUUAGUGAAGAUUCUAAAGAUCUG